rnacentral:rRNA from 1 species
AUUGAACGCUGGCGGAAUGCUUUACACAUGCAAGUCGAACGGCAGCACGGACUUCGGUCUGGUGGCGAGUGGCGAACGGGUGAGUAAUGUAGCGGAACGUGCCCAGUCGUGGGGGAUAACGCAGUGAAAAUUACGCUAAUACCGCAUACGAUCUAUGGAUGAAAGCGGGGGAUCGCAAGACCUCGAGCGCUUGUAGCGGACGAUAUCAGAUUAGGUAGUGGGUUGGGUAAAGGCCCACCAAGCCAACGAACUGUAGCUGGUCAGGGAGGACGACCAGCCACCCUGGAACUGAGACACGGUCCAGACUCCUACGGGAGGCAGCAGUGGGGAAUUUUGGACAAUGGGCGAAAGCCUGAUCCAGCCAUUCCGCGUGCAGGAUGAAGGCCCUCGGGUUGUAAACUGCUUUUGUACAGAACGAAAAGGUUUCUACUAAUACUAGGAGCUCAUGACGGUACUGUAAGAAUAAGCACCGGCUAACUACGUGCCAGCCGCCGCUGUAA